rnacentral:tRNA from 1 species
ACAUUGGUGGUUCGGUGGUAGAGCUCUCACCUUCCAUGCAAGGGACCUAGGUUAUAUUCCCAGCCAAUGUA